GCCAGCCCCGACUCACCAGCCCUAGCCCUGCUCUUCACCUGUCAGCCUCCUGCAAGAGGAAAAGAAAAUAAAUGUCUGCCUCGCUCCCGUCUGUGUUCUGAGCAACUGGCCUUCCAAGUGCAUUUGUCCAGCACGUGAAGGACAAGACCACAUGGGUUCGGGUGAGAUUCCCAGGACGGGAUUCGGAGAAUGGCUCCACAUUCCCUGCAGGUGCAGCCACACCUCCCGGGGGCACAGUGGCAGCUGUCUGAAGGCCCCCCAGUCUUGGAAGGCUGGAGACAAAAGUAACUGCCAAAGCCGCCAACACCCUAGAGGCCCUUUGCAAGCAGGAUAAUCCCUGGGCGCCCGGCCCUGGGCAGGAGGCCCCUGGAGAAGGAGCUCCGUGUCCAGGCUGGCCUGAGAAUCAGGCAGCUGCUUUCAGAGGGAGCCAGCUGGGGUCUGCCCGCCCCACUCUGCUCGGGCAGGGAUGCUGCUGCCACCGGGCCACGGAGCCUGGUCCACAGCAACCUCCAGCGGCUUGUUCUGGAACCUUCUCCUCUCCCAGGACCAACUCAGAGGUGGAUCCCAGAUGAUCUCAUGCUGCAUUUUGGGCUGGAUUCUGCUACCCUUUGUUCCUGUGGUCAGAGCAGGGUCCUCUGUGCUGCGUAGGCCCCGGGAGCAGCAUCUUGGCGCAUCCAUGGCUGGCCCUUCCAGAACACACGCACUUCCCAGCAUACCCUUGAAGGAGGAAGUGACCUUUCUACACAGCGAAAGCCUUGAAGGCGCCUGCAUCUCCCUAUUGGUCUUCUGACCUCAGAUGACAGACCAGCGCCUGCCCGGAGCUCCAGCCCCGCCCCAGCCCU